AGUGUGGUUCAACUUCGAAAUUCAGAAUUCCAUAUAACUUAACCAUUUCUUUGAUAAGAAUCUCCGCCAAGGCAAGUUUCGAAUAUUUCAAUCCAAAAGCAGUUAAAAAGUUCUAGCGUCGAAGUAACCAGUCACACCCCUUUGCGGGCUGUCCAAAAAAUGAACCCGGCCAAUCAAAAUGCAAUGGUGCAUAGUACCACAAUUGAUCAGCAUCACGAUCUCCUCUUCUUGUGCAAUAUCCCCUUUUAUGGUCUCUUGUGCCCUUAAUCCAAACAACGAAUCAAUUAAAAAAUCCCAAUGUAUCGUCGUUAGAACCCAGUGCUUCCAGCUUGCACUCGUCGAUCAUGACUUCACUGUCCGACUCCUCUUCCCAUUCUCUAAUAACCAGAACUUGCAAC
rnacentral:lncRNA from 1 species